rnacentral:rRNA from 1 species
GUGGGGAAUAUUGGACAAUGGGCGAAAGCCUGAUCCAGCCAUGCCGCGUGUGUGAAGAAGGUCUUCGGAUUGUAAAGUACUUUAAGUUGGGAGGAAGGGCAGUAAGUUAAUACCUUGCUGUUUUGACGUUACCGACAGAAUAAGCACCGGCUAACUUCGUGCCAGCAGCCGCGGUAAUACGAAGGGUGCAAGCGUUAAUCGGAAUUACUGGGCGUAAAGCGCGCGUAGGUGGUUUUGUAAGUUGGGGGUGAAAUCCCCGGGCUCAACCUGGGAACUGCCUCCAAAACUGCAUGACUUGAGUACGGUAGAGGGUAGUGGAAUUUCCUGUGUAGCGGUGAAAUGCGUAGAUAUAGGAAGGAACACCAGUGGCGAAGGCGACUACCUGGACUGAUACUGACACUGAGGUGCGAAAGCGUGGGGAGCAAACAGGAUUAGAUACCCCGGUAGUCC